GGAAACGAUGACGAUUGUCGUAGCGGUGAUAUCGCGCAUGGGCAGGAGGGAAUAGCCCUCCGGAAACCGCCGCCCAUGCGCCGAAACAGGUCCCUGACGGGGCCUUUUUUUAUGCCCCG
rnacentral:sRNA from 1 species